GAUGAACGCUGGCGGCGUGCCUAAUACAUGCAAGUCGAGCGAACAGACGAGGAGCUUGCUCCUCUGACGUUAGCGGCGGACGGGUGAGUAACACGUGGAUAACCUACCUAUAAGACUGGGAUAACUUAGGGAAACCGGAACUGAUACCGGAUAAUAUAUUGAAGCGCAUGGUUCAAUAGUGAAAGAGGGUUUUGCUGUCACUUCUACAUGGAUCCGCGCUGCAUUAGUUAGUUGGUAAGGUAGCGGCUUACCAAGGCAACGAUGCGUAGCCGACCUGAGAGGGUGAUCGGCCACACUGGAACUGAGACACGGUCCAGACUCCUACGGGCGGCAGCAGUAGGGACUCUUGCGCAAUGGGCGAAAGCCUGACGGAGCAGCGCCGCGUGAGUGAUGAAGGUCUUCGGAUCGUAAAACUCUGUUAGUAGGGAAGAACAAAUGUGUAAGUAACUAUGCACGUCUUGACGGUACCUAAUCAGAAAGCCACGGCUAACUACGUG
rnacentral:rRNA from 1 species